rnacentral:sRNA from 1 species
UCAUCCUGGCCCCACCAGGGCCUUGGGCAAGUCCUGCCCACCAUAGGCCUCUGCUCCCUGCCAGUCAGCGGGGAAGUUCACCAGAUUUCGGCUGCUGGGGCCAGGACAGGCCUCUCCUAGGUUGUGCCAAACCAGCCUACAGAUGUUCCUGCCAGUGGUGCCUUCAGGCUGAUGCCAAUCUAGCCUCUCCUGUCCCUCAUCAGCCACCCUGACAGGGGACUUCAGAGCAGCAAGGCCCCAGCUGGCAGUAGCCGGACCAUCUGGACACAGCAGAGCCAGGGUGGCCCAGGGACAGCAGGAGAGCUCACGGCACCUUCCUGAGGCCAAGCAAGGGGAGCAGGGUUAGGGCUGUUCGUGAAAGGCAGAAAGCCUCUGCCCUGAGCCUCACAGCCACUCUUCUCAGCUCUCUGGGUCUGGAAGGAGAACAGGCUGAGGGGAGCUGAGAGGAGCUGAGGUGCUACCAGGAGCCCCAUUCACCCCCACCUGCCCACCUGGGAAUCUGAGGCAGAGGAGGGUGAGGCCUGUGUGCCAACCUUGUUCACAUACCACCUUCGUCCCCCCAGGCCCCGGCCCCUUUCCUGGCUCUCAUUAUUUUUAUGCUAAAACUUUGAAGAAAUUGAA